rnacentral:rRNA from 1 species
UACGGGGGGGGGUAAGCGUUGUUCGGAAUUACUGGGCGUAAAGGGCGCGUAGGCGGUCAGCACAAGUCAGUUGUGAAAUCUCCGGGCUUAACUCGGAAAGGUCAACUGAUACUGUGCGACUAGAGUGCAGAAGGGGCAACUGGGAAUUCUCGGUGUAGCGGUGAAAUGCGUAGAUAUCGAGAGGAACACCUGCGGCGAAGGCGGGUGCUGGGCUGACACUGACGCUGAUGCGCGAAAGCCAGGGGAGCGAACGGG